GCACCACGAGUCUCCAGCAUGGUUGUUUCAGCCGGCACAGGAGAUCUCCACACAAAAACUCAAACAAAUCUGGGCGGCAGUUUCAACUGGCACCUGGAACACCUGGGAGACAGAGUCACC